UACGUAGGGUGCAAGCGUUGUCCGGAAUUAUUGGGCGUAAAGAGCUCGUAGGCGGUUUGUCGCGUUGUUCGUGAAAACUCACAGCUCAACUGUGGGCGUGCGGGCGAUACGGGCAGACUGGAGUACUGCAGGGGAGACUGGAAUUCCUGGUGUAGCGGUGGAAUGCGCAGAUAUCAGGAGGAGCACCGGUGGCGAAGGCGGGUCUCUGGGUAGUAACUGACGCUGAGGAGCGAAAGCGUGGGGAGCGAACAGG
rnacentral:rRNA from 1 species